rnacentral:rRNA from 1 species
UACGUAGGGGGCAAGCGUUGUCCGGAUUUACUGGGCGUAAAGGGCGCGUAGGCGGCCAGCACAAGUCAGUUGUGAAAUCUCCGAGCUUAACUCGGAAAGGUCAACUGAUACUGUGCGGCUAGAGUGCGGAAGGGGCAACUGGAAUUCUUGGUGUAGCGGUGAAAUGCGUAGAUAUCAAGAGGAACACCUGCGGCGAAGGCGGGUUGCUGGGCCGACACUGACGCUGAGGCGCGAAAGCUAGGGGAGCGAACGGG